UUUGCCCAAUUUAUAUUUGCCCUAGCCAGGCUGGGUCAAACUCUCGACAUCGCACUUUUAUCUCGCUCGCCCGUCGGCGUCUGAACAGCACCGGUAUGAAUCUCUUUCUCUCUCUCUCGAUCUCAACCCUACUCUUUCGUUCCAAGGGUUCCAAUCAACAGAUUCAACACAGAGCCCUCAAACAUCUAUCUACGUAAUGUAUAGCUUGCCAAUCAUCGAUCAGUUUGAAGAUACGGAUCUAGAUUCGGCCUCAAAUUCCAGGUUUCAGGUACUUUAAUAAAUUAAAUAAAUAAAUAAAAACGGAGCUACAUUGAAAUUCCCUGCUAUUUGUACGCGUUGGACGAUUUGUACGCGUUGGACUUCGAUGGGAUUCUCUGCGAUAGCUGUGGAGAGAGCUCUCUCUCCACCGUUAAGGUUCCUCUCAUUUCUCUCUGUGCCUAUACAUACAUAUAUAUGUGUGUAUGAUUUGAUGCCUUUGAAUUGUUGUUGAUGUUUAUCAUUCGAAUUCAAUAAUGAUUCGUAUAAGCUGCUAAGUUGAGAUGGCCUAGUCUAUUUGAAGGUGUGGAUUCAUCAAUGGAGGACUGGAUUGUUGACCAAAUGAACGCUGCAAGCUCUUUCAAUUUCAUUUUGUUUUUUACUUUUUUUGUGACAUUUUCUGCUACUAGUUGAGUUUUUUUUGAAUUCAGAAAACUAGGGGAAAAGAUUCGGAAGGAGCGAAGUGAAUUGUUGUAAGUAGUGUUUGGUUGCCAAUAAAGUGAUGGAAAGUUUGUUGGAGAACAUCGAUAUUGGUAUAAGAAAUUGGGUUAAAAGGAAAGGAAAUGAAAACAUAUAAGAAAUAAUUUUCCAUUACCUGUUUGGUUUGCAAGAAAA